rnacentral:lncRNA from 1 species
UGGGGGGAGGGGCUGAGGGCAGCUUCUUGGCACCCGGGCUGCCCUGCCUCAUGGGUGCCCUUCUCAGGGCCUCUGGCCCCGCCUCCCAAGCCGCCCUCCUUCCUUGCUUCUGUCUCCUGACCUUUCAGUCCAAAGGGGCCCCAGGGGCUGCUGGGAGGAAGGUUGGCCAGGCCCUGGGAGGAGAAAGGCUUCGAGCUGCAGCCAGGCUGGGAUCAGAUCCCAGACACCACCCUGAGCCCGGGAAGUCUCUCCCUGGGGCCCGCUGGCUGUCCUAGCAGCCCCCUGCCAUCACGCCCAGCAACCAGCCCAGGAGCUGCAGUCUGGCCUCAGGCUGCCUGGGUUGCUGGCCCAAAUGGAAACAAUGUCAAGGCCAGCCAAGCAGGAAGCUGGGACCGCCCUUUCUGGGGAGCUGGGAGUGGGCCAGGGUCCAGCCUGGCUGGAGGCUCCUGCUAUGGGGAGAGGCCAGAGCCUUUCCGAGCCCACCUGCCCGACAGCCCUGGUGCCAGCAGGCCCUUUCUGGAUGUCACAGUGUUCUUGUCUCUAAGAUUGAUCGCAGAGUUGAACAACAGAGAAUGUGUGCACAGUGCCAGGCACAGGUGUGGUCAAGAUUCACCUGGGAGAGGAAGUGGGCAGGGGCAGAGGAGUGUGCCCACCUGAGCUGAAAGGCUGCAUGGCAGGUGACCAUUAUCACCAGUGUCGCCAGCCAGGUCACCUCUCUGAAUUUUGUGGUUGCAACCUCCAUGAUUCCCUAGAGCUGUUUUUACCCAGAACUAAUGAAAAAUUCUGCACAUUAAAUUCAUGCUAUUAGAA